UCGUGCUAGACGGGGAGGUAGCGGUGCCCUCUUCCCGCAAUCCGCUAUAGCGGGGUCGAACUCCUGCCCGCGGGCGUUUGGUGUUGUUUUCCUCUCGGAUGGAAGUGGUGUUGAUAAUCAGGUCCCAUGCAAUGGUCGCCCAUGAACCCCGUCAGGACCGGAAGGUAGCAGCGGUAAGUGGUGAUUGGUCAUGUGAUAUGGGGGUACCUGGUUGGAGCUAACCCAUUGGGGUGGAGCGGUGUCAGCGUUCAGAGGCGGGUGCACGA
rnacentral:SRP_RNA from 1 species